UGUGAGUGCUUGUAAGCCACGUGGGUAAGUUGGUCUUCAAGUCGAUGUUAACCCUCUCCCAGCCACCAACUUUGCUCUGCCCUUGUGCUGUGCGUGCCAUCUCCCUUGUUUGGUGACCGCGUCGGCUAGUUUUCACCCUCACCGUGGCCAGGGCGUCUCAAGGAGUUGCUUGCUCGUGUGAUGCUUGUUCCCUACUCUCUUUAGAACACCAAGAAGAAAUGGUCUUUGAAGAAGGAGCCUGCUCUCCAGUGCUGUUGAUCCAGUAGUUGGUUCCAUCUAACUGGUUAUCGUGAUAGAAGAUCUGGAAUCUCCUCCUGUAAUAAGGCAAGCCCCGGUGCAUUUGCCCCUCAUUGUUUUAAAAUUUUUAUCACCUUAUAUGAUGCAUUAGGUGAUAGGAGUUAUGUGAUCAACCGUUGAUGCAUUAUCAUUCC